rnacentral:tRNA from 1 species
GUUAGGAUGGCCGAGUGGUGUAAGGCGCCAGACUCAAGUUCUGGUCUUCGAGAGAGGGCGUGGGUUCAAAUCCCACUUCCGAGG